ACCCCCGAUGUUAUUGCUGUUAUGGGUUGCGACCGAGCUUAGCGUUGUUCAUUUUUUUACACAACAACCCCGUAAAAAUUAAAACACGCUGCGCUAAAGACCAUGAUUUCCAGCUGCUCUAACAGUGAAAAACUGCCCUAAAGAGCGGCAAAAACUGCUUCAAGGCGCCGUUUUAGAGCAA
rnacentral:sRNA from 1 species